UGUGGAGCACGGACAUGAGUCUUCACCCCAUCCGGGCCCUUCGCACUGGGCCCCGCCUCUCACUGAGGAGGAUCUAAUGUCGGGGCAUCGCCAGAGGGUCUCAGGCCAUGACUGACAAGCCCGGCUUCCACCACGUGAUCAAGUCCAGGCUGACCUGCUGGAUGAGGAGCGACAUGUGGCCUCGUCACCCCAUGGCGGGAUCCAAGGGCCAGCUGACUUCCAGGAGCAGAACAGCCCAAGACUAGCUGGUGCCUCCAGCUGUGAGGAGGCAGCCCCGCCCAGAGAACCAACCAGCCCCGCCCAGAGAACCGGCCAGCUCCGCCCAGAAAACCGGCCAGCCCCGCCCAGAGAACCGUCCAGCUCCGCCCAGAAAACCGGUCAGCCCCGCCCAGAGAACCGUCCAGCCCCGCCCAGAAAACCGGCCAGCCCCGCCCAGAGAACCAGCCAGCUCCGCCCAGAAAACCGGUCAGCCACGCCCACGCCAAGUUGCCAGCCCCGCCCACGCCCAGUUAGCCGCCCACAGAAUGGUGAGCUCAGCACGUGACUGUUGGAACAGGACCCUGGGUUCCGAGGUCAGUGGUGACACAGAAAAAGCAUUCUGCUAUAGUGUCUGGGGGUGGACUCCAAGCCCCGGUGGACACCGGAAGCUCCAGAUACAAGGAGGCUGGAUCCCUGAGUCACCACCGGGCAGGGUGCCAGCCACCUCCAAGAUGAGCAAGGUGUCUAACAGACAGCAAGCCAGGUGGGAGCUAGGGAGGAGCCCUACGUGGGCACAUGUCAUGGUGACCCCACAGCGACUGAGAGAGAAGGGGGUCCUAAAAGCCACCAGAGGAUGGAGGGUGUUUAUGAAAGAACAACUGACGUAAAGCACGUUUCUCAACCGCGGUGCGGGAGGCCAGGAUGCAGCCGGCUCAAAGUGAGGGCUCCAGCCUGUGUGAGAUCAAGUGACGGGAGACACCAUCAGCAGCCCACGGCAACAAAUGUGCAAUGUAGAGAGAUAACUUCAUAAAAGUGCAACCUCCUACAACUGGUACGAGAAGAAACAGAACCCUCAGGGCAGCAGCUACUGAACCAGCAUCGUCCUGUAAAGGAAACACCGGGCCCAGGGAAUUUCCUAGAUGAUUCUACCAAACUCUCAAAGAUAGAUCAUUCCAGAGUCCUCCCGGGAAUGAUAAAAGAAGGGAUACUCCUGAACUCAUUCUGUGAGUCAAGAAAGGCCGAUCUCACUCAGAAGCAUAAUAAAGUCCUAAAAAAAUAAGAGUAAA